rnacentral:tRNA from 1 species
GUCCCUGUUGCGCAAUGGAUAGCUCUUUGGACUUCUAAUCCAAAGGUCAUGGGUUCGAAUCUCAUCUGGGAUG